rnacentral:tRNA from 1 species
GGUUCCACAGUGUAGCAGUUAGCACGUCUGCUUUACACGCAGAAGGUCCUGGGUUCCAGUAGAGCCA